rnacentral:sRNA from 2 species
GGACCGCGGAUGCCGCGAAGGACCCGAGGAACGCGAGGGACCCGAGCGGCUUGGGGUGAAGCCCCGGGCGCCGCAAGGCACUCGGGGCCGGGCAACUCACCUGACCCGAACCCGACAGCUCACCUCGCAGGCGUCGGUGAGAAGGAAC